rnacentral:tRNA from 1 species
GUAGUAGCUCAGUGGUAGGGCUCUCGCUUCAUAUGCAGGAAGACCUGGGUUCAAUUCCUAGCUGC